UACGGGGGGGGCAAGCGUUGUUCGGAAUUACUGGGCGUAAAGGGCUCGUAGGUGGCCAACUAAGUCGGACGUGAAAUCCCUCGGCUUAACCGGGGAACUGCGUCUGAUACUGGAUGGCUUGAGUUUGGGAGAGGGACGCGGAAUUCCAGGUGUAGCGGUGAAAUGCGUAGAUAUCUGGAGGAACACCGGUGGCGAAGGCGGCGUCCUGGACCAACACUGACACUGAGGAGCGAAAGCCAGGGGAGCAAACGGG
rnacentral:rRNA from 1 species